GACAGAGGCCUCAAGCGUUAGGCGGAAUCACUGGGCUUAAAGCGUGUGUAGGCGGACGCCUAAGUGUCUUGUGAAAUCCCCCCGGCUCACCCGGGGAACUGCUGGGCAUACUGGGCGUCUUGGGCCAACUAGGGGCAACUGGAACAAGCGGUGGAGCGGUGAAAUGCGUAGAUAUCAGGAGGAAUACCUAUGGCGAAAGCAGGUAUCUGGGCCAUCACUGACGCUGAGCUGCGAAAGCUAGGGGAGCAAACAGG
rnacentral:rRNA from 1 species